AUACGUAGGGGGCGAGCGUUGUCCGGAUUUACUGGGUGUAAAGGGCGUGUAGGCGGAGAUGCAAGUCAGGAGUGAAAUCUAGGGGCUCAACCCCUAAACUGCUUUUGAAACUGUAUCCCUUGAGUAUCGGAGAGGCAGGCGGAAUUCCUAGUGUAGCGGUGAAAUGCGUGGAUAUUAGGAGGAACCCCAGUGGCGAAGGCGGCCCGCUGGAACAAAACUGACGCUGGGGCGCGAAAGCGUGGGGAGCAAACAGGAUUAGAUACCCUGGUAGUCCACGCUGUAAACGAUGAAUACUAGGUGUGGGGGGACUGACCCCCUCCGUGCCGCAGUUAACACAAUAAGUAUUCCACCUGGGGAGUACGAUCGCAAGAUUGAAACUCAAAUGAAUUGACGGGG
rnacentral:rRNA from 1 species